AAUAGGAUGCCUGAAAUUAAAGGUUUAUUUUGAUAGAAUAAAAAUGUAGAAAAUUCUACUCCUAUUG
rnacentral:tRNA from 1 species